rnacentral:sRNA from 1 species
CCCUAGCCCUGAUAGCAGUGAAAAUCCUUUUGUGCCGGUGUUCGGCACAAAAGAUUGAAACGAAUAGCAGGAAUAGCU